UCUACGGGGUGCAGCAGUGAGGAAUAUUGGUCAAUGGACGGAAGUCUGAACCAGCCAUACCGCGUGCAGGAAGACGGCUCUAUGAGUUGUAAACUGCUUUUGUACAAGGGUAAACCUGAAUACGUGUAUUCAGCUGAAAGUACUUUACGAAUAAGUAUCAGCGAACUCCGUGCCAGCAGCCGAUGUAAUACGGAGGAUAAAAGCGUUAUCCGGAUUUAUUGGGUUUAAAGGGUGCGUAGGCGGAUGUAUAAGUUAGAGGUGAAAUGUACGAGCUUAACUUGGGAAAUGCCUCUAAUACUGUUGAUCUAGAGGGUAGAUGCGGUAGGCGGAAUGUCUGGUGUAGCGGUGA
rnacentral:rRNA from 1 species